rnacentral:rRNA from 1 species
UACGUAGGGUGCGAGCGUUAAUCGGAAUUACUGGGCGUAAAGUGUGCGCAGGUGGCCGCGCAAGUCGAGUGUGAAAUCCCCGAGCUUAACUUGGGAAUUGCGCUCGAAACUACGUGGCUCGAGUGUGGCAGAGGGGGGUGGAAUUCCACGUGUAGCAGUGAAAUGCGUAGAGAUGUGGAGGAACACCGAUGGCGAAGGCAGCCCCCUGGGCUGAGAUUGACGCUCAGGCACGAAAGCGUGGGGAGCAAACAGG